UUCCAUUUCGAAGUCUCGAAAAGGAAAGAUCAAAUUCAUGUCUAAAUUUUUACUUUUGACUUGGAAACAAAAUCAAAAAAUUUAUUUCGGUUUUAAUUUGUGAUAAUUUUUUGGAUUAUUUUUGUGUUCGUUAAUUAAUGUUCUUACUUCUGAAGGAACAAUGCAAAUAAGUUUGCAAACAUUAAACAAGUUUCAAAUGGAGCUGACAUGAAAAGGAAAGAUGAGAAAAAACCGUUUCGAAUGCUGUAUUCUUUUUCCUUUUCCUGACGAACAUAUUUUGUUGAAGACUUUCAAAUGCUCUUGAGCCCAUGAAGAUAUUUUUUGUAACGUUAUUAAUUCGCAUUCGAUUGCGAAGCACUCAAAAUUUAAAGUCGUGCUAUGUGCUUUCGCAAAGAAGACGCAAAAAUAUAAUCAUAUACACAAUCCCAGAACUUCCGGCUAAAAAAGGAAACGACACUACGCAAAGCUUGGAUCGCUAUCCAAGGAAUUAGAAAUGGAUUAAUUGAAAGUGCCACAAAUAACACAAACUAUAUUUUUGAUACAACUUAUACGAGACAUUCAUCAUCAUUGCAUCACUGCCUGCUGUUCAAUCAGACUGCCUGCUAUACUUUCCACACUUUCAACUUUCAACACAAGGAAAUCUCAUAUAAUAUGAAUCCCACUUGUUUUUACACC